UAACUAAUUUGGAUUUAAAAAAAUAAAAAUCUACCUAUUCCACUUUAGACAUACAUUUCAUAGUACUCACGUAACAUGCAUUACAUAAUAGUACAUGUUUUGCAUACAGUCAAUAAUACAUAUUUGAUAUAGAUAAUUAAUACACACAUAUAUAUAUACAAUAUACGCCACGCGUAUAGGUCGUCAGCGUCGGCACCUCCACAAGCCCGUGUUGAUGUCGUCGGUGUCGCCGCCGCCGCAGCACCGUGAGGAUGCCGUCGUCAUCGCUGCAGCAGCCCCGUGUCGAUGUUGAUGCCGUCAACGCCGCCACCCCAGCCCCGUGUAGAUGUCAAUGUCGAUGCACCUAAUUGAUGUGAAAAUGGAUAGGGAGCAUAGAGCAGAUCAAUGGUUCAAACUUUCAAAGGCUUGAGGUUGGAUUCGCUUUGGUAUGCUUACGAAAAAGAGCAGAAAAAACAAAGUCAUGUUGAACUCUAGACUACAUCAUUUUGUUCUAUGUUAGUGAUGUCUUGUAGACAGUUAGCAUAUUUAUAUAACUCAAAUUCACUUUAUGUAUACUUAGCAGAUUGGUGCCAACCAGCUGAACACCAUGAGGCAGAGGGUUACCUAAACAGACAACACCAGUAGCAACGAGGCAAAAGGAAACUAGGAAGUAAUCUCUAGUUUCUAUUUUUUAAGUGAGCAUUUUACCACACCUGAUGUUCCCCGUGAGGGAGGCUGUUGUUCAUUUUGUGAUUCUCUUCUGCCAAAUGUUUACCAUGAAUAGUUUCAUUUUUAUAAAGCUAAUUUCCCUUGUCUUUUUCUCAUUAAUCCAUUAUAGUUAUUAAUUGGAUAAAUCCCACGAGUAAGAAAGCAGUGAAUCUAAAUUUAGGGUCGCAUAC
rnacentral:lncRNA from 1 species